UUCGGGAAUUUUCUCUCUGUUGCAGUUCCUCCGCGGACGAAUAUUUUCUAGAUAACCCGUCAUCAGAAAUUGCAGGCUACUUUUGUAGUUAUCAAAUGCAUGCUGCUUCGGACUUCUGCAGAUCGGAUUUGUCUGGUGUAGCACCGACGUUGUGGGUGGCCUGGUGAGUAAACAAACUCCCUGGAGAGGAAACGAAAAUUGUACAUCGAGAAGUCCUAAACAGUAAUAGCUUGAUCUGGAAAGGGGCCCAAACAACAAAUAAAGUAACGAGUUCCGGGUCGUAGAGAUAUGUACCCAAACGGAGUAUUUGGAGAAAUAUUAGAAUACGCGAGAGAAUACGCUAAAAAGAACGUUUCAUAGAAUAUUUUGGAAGAGCAGCAGUUUUUAGAUUGGGAUUCUUUUGCAGCCUUGGUUCGAGUUACUUAAGAAGAGCAAUGCAGCCGUCCAGACCUAUAUCCAAAACAUUCCAGGUUCUUUUCGACGACGAAGUCUUCUUGAUCCUGGGUCACUGCGUAUUAACAGGAUGUCUCCACUCCCGGGCAUGACUAAACAUCGGCCAACUGUCAAACACAAGCCCUCCUUUUUUCCGCACUCGAUCCAUGCCCCAAUGCACGACCGACAAGAUGAUUUGGGAAUCGGCUUUUCCAUGUGGGGAUCCGGAUAGCAACUGAUGAUCUAAAUACACUUUUAGAUGUGUAGCAUUUUUGGAGGGAUUUGAUGUUCGUGGAAAGAUGCCCAACAAAGCAACACUAACAGUGACACAGGCGUUUUUGGAUGCGAGGAAUUCUCUCCUAUCGUGGUCCAAAGAGAGCGAGAUCCUUUGUUAUCGGAUGAACCUGGUCGGCACGUACUACAUGGGAAAGGUAACCGAAUUCGGUUACUAUAUAUGGACCCGCAGAAGCGAAGGUGUGGCGUUUUUUUUCUGUACGAUCAGGAAUUCUCAGCUAAUUAACGUUGUGAUAAAAACUGGAGCUAAAAUGGUUUUUGGAAAAAUCCUAGGGACGACGACAUAUUCCGAAGUAACUCCAGUGUGCAAAACCACGUCGGAACCCAUCGCCUAACAUCGAACGGGAAACCCCCGGAUAUGAGACGCCCUCGAAUGUUACCCCAUCAUCAGGGGUGAUCGUAGCGGUGACUCUGCAUGUCACAUCACCCUUCUGCUGACCCUAGCUGGUACUGGUACCACUCCGAUCCAACACAAAACUAUAGCCAUUGAACGACACUCCAACAUCAAUGACAAGAAUCCCUGUCUGGUUCUUUUUCCAAGUUGAGGACAACGGCGCCAGAAUUAUCAACUUUCAACCCAACGGCACUCUCCAUUUUAUGAAACCGGAAGACACACUACUGAUCCAAUGUCGACGAGAUAGACUUCAUCCCUGAGGAGUAAAAGGAACGCAAAACUAUUAUCGGAACUGUCGGACCACUUUCUAACCAAACCCCCCGCCAUGGGAGAUCGCUUAUUAGUCGAAGUCAUCGUGCGAAUCUUGCAUCAGCUGGUGAUAUGGUUUAUCCUUAUGUCCACACAAUUUCGAUCCACUGUUGAUUGACGGAGAUUACUACGCCCGUAUUGAACGUCUAGGGAUCAUCUCCAACUUGGCCAAGCCCGCCGGUUGGCUACCAUGUAUUUGAUUAUGCAUCUCGAUAUCAACAACAUUAUGUAAUAAUAUGUAUACAUGUGUAAUACAAUGCCCUAUACCUUCGCUGUGA